AUGAGUGGGAGCUCCCAUAUUGCAUCAUUACAAUCUCAACAUAGUACCUAUGCAUGCCCCAUUAAAAUAAAUACCAUUUGCACUUAUGGCAUAGAUGACGAGAUGAUGGUCCUUGGCUUUUGUUUUUCAUGUGAUGGUAUUGCCAUGCUUCCUUUACAUGAUUUGCGCAAUUCAUCUACUAUACCAUGCCAUGAUCACAUUGUUCUGAAUAUGCAUUGUUUUGGAUGUUCUCAAUAUUCUCCACAUGAUGUUUCCACUAAUGAUCAUGAGAAGACCCCCAUAGUUUCCUCAUACAUAUUAGGAGAUUUUGAUGCAUUCCAUACUUUGCAUGAUUCCCAUGAUUGUGUGCACCACAUGCCUUCCAUGAAUACGAUGCUCUACAUAUUUUUCGUGAUGCAUUCCAUAAUUCGAGUCUCCAUUAUGCUAUACAUAAUAACAAACCUCUCAUGA
rnacentral:rRNA from 1 species